rnacentral:rRNA from 1 species
GACGAACGCUGGCGGCGUGCUUAACACAUGCAAGUCGAACGGAAAGGCCCUGCUUUUGUGGGGUGCUCGAGUGGCGAACGGGUGAGUAACACGUGAGUAACCUGCCCUUGACUUUGGGAUAACUUCAGGAAACUGGGGCUAAUACCGGAUAGGAGCUCCUGCUGCAUGGUGGGGGUUGAAAAGUUUCGGCGGUUGGGGAUGGACUCGCGGCUUAUCAGCUUGUUGGUGGGGUAGUGGCUUACCAAGGCUUUGACGGGUAGCCGGCCUGAGAGGGUGACCGGCCACAUUGGGACUGAGAUACGGCCCAGACUCCUACGGGAGGCAGCAGUGGGGAAUAUUGCACAAUGGGCGGAAGCCUGAUGCAGCAACGCCGCGUGCGGGAUGACGGCCUUCGGGUUGUAAACCGCUUUCGCCUGUGACGAAGCGUGAGUGACGGUAAUGAGUAAAGAAGCACCGGCUAACUACGUG